GACGAACGCUGGCGGCGUGCUUAACACAUGCAAGUCGAACGGUAAGGCCCUUCGGGGUACACGAGUGGCGAACGGGUGAGUAACACGUGGGUGAUCUGCCCUGCACUUCGGGAUAAGCCUGGGAAACUGGGUCUAAUACCGGAUAGGACCACUGCCUGCAUGGGUGGUGGUGGAAAGCUUUUGCGGUGUGGGAUGGGCCCGCGGCCUAUCAGCUUGUUGGUGGGGUGAGGGCCUACCAAGGCGACGACGGGGCGCCGGCCUUGGCGGGUGCCCGGCCACACUGGGACUGAGGUACGGCCCGGACUCCUACGGGAGGAAGCAGUAGGGAAUAUUGCACAAUGGGCGCAAGCCUGAUGCAGCGACGCCGCGUGAGGGAUGACGGCCUUCGGGUUGUAAACCUCUUUCAUCACCGACGAAGCGCAAGUGACGGUAGGUGCAGAAGAAGGACCGGCCAACUACGUGCCAGCCGCCGCAGUAA
rnacentral:rRNA from 1 species